AAAGGCAAUGCGUGGUUUCAGGAUUACCCAAAACAAAAAGGUUUUCCCGGCCGGGGAAAGAAGGGGCGCAGAGGCGCGAAAACUUUAAUUGCACCACAGUGCGAAUAAGGGAAACUCCAAGUGCGAGGGUAUAACGGCGGGGGGUUAUGAGUAUAGUAAGGUGGUUCAAGAAAUAAGGGCUGGGCAAGACGGAUGCCAGCGCCGCGAGAAUACGGGGAGCUCAAGGGAUGACCAAUGUUAUGGGCUUAAAGCGCCGUAGGUUUGUAGAAAGGCGUGGAAAUUGUUUUAAUAGCAGCCAGAUUGCAUU
rnacentral:rRNA from 1 species